rnacentral:piRNA from 1 species
UGCAACAACUGUGCUACAAAUGGAGCC